rnacentral:rRNA from 1 species
CUACGGAGGGUGCGAGCGUUAAUCGGAAUUACUGGGCGUCAAGGGCGCGUAGGCGGUCUAUCAAGUCAGGUGUGAAAUCCCACGGCUCAACCGUGGAGGUGCAUCUGAAACUGAUAGACUUGAGUAUGGGAGAGGAAAGUGGAAUUCCCGGUGUAGAGGUGAAAUUCGUAGAUAUCGGGAGGAACACCAGUGGCGAAGGCGACUUUCUGGACCAAUACUGACGCUGAGGCGCGAAAGCGUGGGGAGCAAACAGGAUUAGAAACCCUUGUAGUCC